UAACAACCUGCUGUCCAGAGAAAUGGGUUCUGAUUGCAGGCAGUUCAGACGUUUGAAAUUCUACUAUAAUUCCUCGGAGGAAGUAUAAUUUUAUACAGGAGGCUGCUGAGGAAAUAUCAGUUUAAAUUCCAUAUCAAGAGAUGCGACUUCAUUUGCUGAAUUUUGAAUACAAGUUCAAUAUUUUUUGAAUGAACUGAGAAGAGACUGUAUAGCUUUCGAAUUUUCUUGCUGACAACUUGAUUGACUUGGAUUUUGCUGACGUUAUGAAUAAUUUCUGUUGUUGUUCUACCAAAAAUGAAUACUAUAUAUUCUAUGUUUUUGACGGGGAAAAUUUAGCAUUUUUUAAACAUUAUUUAUGCCCACCUGCUACCACCAACUAAUGCCCACCUGCAUUAUCUCUCUAAUCAACAAUAUUUCUGAAGCAAAAGCAUACGUGCAGUAUUUUUUAAUAGAUUUGACUUUAUUUGCAGAUGAAUCUAAUCCUAUUUAAUUUUAUUUUAGACACUAGA